CCUACGGGGGGCAGCAGUGGGGAAUAUUGGACAAUGGGGGGAACCCUGAUCCAGCCAUGCCGCGUGUGUAAGAAGGCCCUCGGGUUGUAAAGCACUUUCAGUGAGGAAGAACGCCUGGUGGUUAAUACCCAUCAGGAAAGACAUCACUCACAGAAGAAGCACCGGCUAACUCCGUGCCAGCAGCCGCGGUAAUACGGAGGGUGCGAGCGUUAAUCGGAAUUACUGGGCGUAAAGCGCGCGUAGGUGGCUUGAUAAGCCGGUUGUGAAAGCCCCGGGCUCAACCUGGGAACGGCAUCCGGAACUGUCAAGCUAGAGUGCAGGGGAGGAAGGUAGAAUUCCCGGUGUAGCGGUGAAAUGCGUAGAGAUCGGGAGGAAUACCAGUGGCGAAGGCGGCCUUCUGGACUGACACUGACACUGAGGUGCGAAAGCGUGGGUAGCAAACAGGAUUAGAUACCCUGGUAGUC
rnacentral:rRNA from 1 species